rnacentral:rRNA from 1 species
UUGAUCCUGGCUCAGAAUCAACGCUGGCGGCGUGCCUAACACAUGCAAGUCGAACGCGAAAGUCCCGCAAGGGAUUAGUAGAGUGGCAAACGGGUGAGUUACACGUGGGUGACCUGCCUUCAAGUGGGGGAUAACGUCCCGAAAGGGACUCUAAUACCGCAUGACAUGCCGUCCUUUAAGGGGUGGACAUCAAAGCCGGUGAUCGCAAGACCUGGCGCUAGAAGAGGGGCCCGCGUCCGAUUAGCUAGUUGGUGGGGUAAUGGCUCACCAAGGCAACGAUCGGUAGCCGGCCUGAGAGGUCGGACGGCCACACUGGGACUGAGACACGGCCCAGACUCCUACGGGAGGCUGCAGUGGGGAAUUGUUCGCAAUGGGCGCAAGCCUGACGACGCAACGCCGUGUGGAGGAUGAAGACCUUCGGGUCGUAAACUCCUUUCGAUCGAGACGAAUGGCCUCCGGGUGAACAAUCCGGAGGAAUGACGGUACCGAGAGAAGAAGCUCCGGCUAACUCCGUGCCAGCAGCCGCGGUAAUAAGGU